CAGAUCAGAGACCGGAAGUGGGCUGACGUAGCCGGAAGGGGAGCCCUGUGCGCCUAGUGUUGAUGUUUUCGAGCUGCCGGACCUUCUGCGGCUGAGGGGCUAGUGGGCGCGAGGAUGGUGUGCGAAAAAUGUGAAAAGAAACUUGGUACUGUUAUUACGCCGGACACAUGGAAAGAUGGUGCGAGAAAUACCACAGAAAGUGGUGGAAGAAAACUGAAUGAAAAUAAAGCAUUGACUUCAAAAAAGGCAAGAUUCGAUCCGUAUGGAAAGAAUAAGUUCUCCACUUGCAGAAUUUGUAAAAGCUCUGUGCACCAGCCGGGGUCCCACUACUGCCAGGGCUGCGCCUACAA